GACGAACGCUGGCGGCGUGCCUAAUACAUGCAAGUAGAACGCUGAAGAGAGGAGCUUGCUCUUCUUGGAUGAGUUGCGAACGGGUGAGUAACGCGUAGGUAACCUGCCUGGUAGCGGGGGAUAACUAUUGGAAACGAUAGCUAAUACCGCAUGACAUUGAUUAUCGCAUGAUAAUUGAUUGAAAGAUGCAAUUGCAUCACUACCAGAUGGACCUGCGUUGUAUUAGCUAGUUGGUGAGGUAACGGCUCACCAAGGCGACGAUACAUAGCCGACCUGAGAGGGUGAUCGGCCACACUGGGACUGAGACACGGCCCAGACUCCUACGGGAGGCAGCAGUAGGGAAUCUUCGGCAAUGGGGGGAACCCUGACCGAGCAACGCCGCGUGAGUGAAGAAGGUUUUCGGAUCGUAAAGCUCUGCUGUAAGAGAAGAACGGGUGUGAGAGUGGAAAGUUCACACUGUGACG
rnacentral:rRNA from 1 species